rnacentral:tRNA from 1 species
GGGGUCGUAGCUCAGCUGGGAGAGCGCCGCAAUCGCACUGCGGAGGUCGGCGGUUCGAUCCCGCUCGACUCCACCA